GUUUACUGAUAGCUAUCCUUUACUUGGAGAUCCUUCCCCAAAACCAUUUUGUGUUUCUGUUGGGCUUCUAGUAACUAACACACCCUUAGAUUUCCAUCAUGGAAUGCAUCAUGUGUCCUGUGCUUGCCUAUGGCCUGCUUCAUUUUAUCUCUGUUUAUCCAAACAUAUUCUAGUAUCUGCAAGGUAUAUAUGCUAAAACAAAUGUGAUUUAACUUCAAAAUACAGUCCUUUAUCCUACUUUUGGUUGUUUGCAAAAUCACUUUUUUCUUUUUUCCUGGGGUUGCAAAAGCAUAUGCUACUGUGAUUUAUUCCAAGUGCUGACUGCUGAGGGUGUUCUUGAUGGAGUAACAUAUGUGAAGGCAAUUGUGCUUUUUUUUUCCCCUCCUUUUUUUUAAUUAUUUCUUUAAUCUAAACAUAUGGAGCUGCCUGUAGAUAGACAUUUUAAUAUAUGGUUUGACUGCCAGUGUAACCUCGGAGAAGUAUAUUAUUGAAGUGAUAAUGUAGCAUUGAAGAGCAUAGCUGAACUUAGUUCUGCUGAGAAGUGGUAGUUUCAUGAAUGAAAUUGGGUCCUAACAUAAUCUAAGGAGAUGAAAGUCUUGGUUAACAUUAGAUUAUAGUGGUCUUGGAUUAUACUGUCAUAUAUUAUCUGUGGAUCAGAAGAAGGUUUGUGUUACGAAUGGUGCGAGAACCGGUGACGGUUAUCUGCUACAUUGGUUCCAAUUGGUUAAGGGGUGUUGGCCUCUUUCCUAGCUGGCAGCUAGUAGAUAGUAACUAUUAGCUAGCAACAAAUUGUUGUCUCUGAUUCUUCAUUGCUUUGUUGCCCUUUUAUUUCUCCCCAGGAAAGUGUUUAUGC
rnacentral:misc_RNA from 1 species